UGGUAAGUAGUUUAAAGAAAACAAAUGACUUCGACUCAUUAGAUUAUGAUAAUCAUACUAACCAA
rnacentral:tRNA from 2 species